GGGUAUUAUGUUAGCUAUUUUGACAAAAAUCCGGAACUCCUCCUUCCUCUCUCUAAUCGACAGAAUAUCUACCUCACCCACCAAAAUCUAUUUUUCAUUCUUCCCCCAAACCAAGCUUUAUGAGGUGCUUUCAUGGUAAUCCAAACACCUAGAAAGAACAAGAUUCUAUUGAUUUCUAAUUCAAUAAUAAAUAUUUACAUGUGUCUCUUGAACUCUCUAGUCCAUAUUUUGGACUGUAGGUGAAGUCGUAGGGAGAUUUGAAUCAAAGGAAAGAGCUUUAAGAGGAUUAUGUAAACUUCAAGAACUCAAGCUUAAAGGAAUCAGAUUUUUUCAAGAUAAGCAGGUUUCAAAGGGUAAGAAUGACGUGGGUUAAACUCAAUGGAGCGGAGACUCUUUAUGAUCCAACUUUUGUAUUACUCUUUAAGUUAUUUUGUGCAAAGGCUUUUUCAACCAUUUACUGUGAAACUUAAUUAUCUCGUACAUUAGUUGUAAUUUCUUUUGUGAAUCAUGGACUAAUGAGUUAGUCAAGUGGCAUGUUUGUGUUUCAAGUUAAAAUUUAUGAUAUGUAAAGUCUGAAGUAAUGUAAUUUCAAUUAUCGACUAUCAAUACGAGACUCCAAGGAUUAUAUUCUAGACAA